GAAGAGCGAUUAUCCACACGCGUAUUCGUCGGUAGAUCUUUGCGGAAAACAGAGGCGUCUGAGAUUGGCAAAGAUGGAAAGUGACCUGAGACCGUGGAGAAAAAUUUCAAUGAUCAGCGCUGGCUCUUUUCACUGGAAUCAAGUUCAGCGAUUAUAUACAUACCGCCAAUCGUAUUCCACGAAGUGACCAGUUACUAUAUUCACGGCCUUCCUCGGAUGGGUUUGAAUUAUCAAUAAAUUGUGGCAAUGAUCCCAGGGCCUAGUCCAGAUGCCGCUUCAUCCCUCAUUGUUAAUCCCGACUUAAGCCCAGAUAAAACCCAGGAGAGUCAAGAGGACGGUGGGGGAGUCUUUUCUUCCUUUUCUCUUGAUGUCCCAGAUGCCGUCAAUGGACCACGGACGUAUCUUAUACGCUGUGUGGAUAAUCGAAGAAGAGAUACUGCCUGAAGAUAGCUGAUAAAGGAAUAUGAGGACAAAAAGUAAAACGACUUGGUGAUUGGGAAGGCGUGUGGAUGGAUCUUAAUUGCUGCUGCGUUGGUACAGCCAAGGUGAAGGAAAAGAUAAAAGGUGGAAGGUGGAAGGUAACUGGAAAUGCAGCCAAUGACACGAAGGAGAUUCAACCUUAUAAUGCAUCUGCCUUGAGUACAGGAGAGUUAGCGAAAAAUCGAAAUAAUUUAACGCGCGAAAAACUCUGCAGCUGCAGCUCACAUGAGUCACGCGACAAUACUGUCAUUAUUACAGGCGUGUAGGGAUAAAUAAUUGUGCUGAUGUAGAAUUUAUUAGCGAAUGUUAAAGAUUUCCAACCACAUCUCAUCGAACCAGUUCCUCUGGUCUAACUGACCUACACUUACUGAUGUCCUGGUGCACCCAGGUUGACGAACCUUUAGGAACGACCAGCGCGCCCCGGGCUAAUUCGCAUUCAAUCAAGUACACUCACGGUUCGUAAGCCAUCGCCUUGAACCUCUUCUUUAUUUUAUUCCUCGACACGAAGGAUGAAAAUUCUUCUGGCUACUAGAAGCAUCGCGACGUCGAUUCCUAAUGCCAGAGUGACGUUUUACCAUUUAACGAUGAAUUUUCCCAAGGCACCCUAAGCGUCAGUGCUCGAGUACUUUCAAGGAACCCCAAACACCCUCCGAAUUGGCCGCUGGAUACAAUAACUUUUGCUACGUCCCUAAAAGCUGCGGUACUUUCGAGUACUCUUGAGAUUGAUGUAAGAAGUCAAGUUGCUGAUUUUACUGUUUCCAAGUAAAUCCAACAUGGCGAAGUGUUUCUGCAACGUCGACGUGACGGUUAUACGCAUUCUGAUGGAGGUUGGAGGAUCAGAUGAGUGACAGAGUGAGAAUAGACAGAAUUUCAAUUGAAUCCACCAGUAGGACACGAUUUUUCAUUUGGAAACAUCUGCAAGUUCUUCUAUAGGUAAGUCAUUCAAAAAAUACUUUCAUUUAACUCAGUAUGAAGUAACAGUAAUAAGGAAACUAAUAGGGAGAGAUCUGGUUGGCUAGAAAUGUUGGACCUCAUUUUUGGACGCAAUAAAUGAGGUCAACUUACACCACUAGAAGCGUGCAAUAUAAAUUAUUAAAUUUAUACUGAAUAGUAAUGUCAGUUUAAUGAGAAAAAUUAUAUUUAUGUUAAUACCUUAUUUAAUGUCUUCUUACAAGUUGGCAUAGUAUAGCCAUCUAUGGGGAUUUUGGAGAACUACGCCGAAGGGUAGCCCAGAACAACCAACUGGUAAAACCAUGUGAAUUGCAAAUACUCAAUAAAUUUCCAUGUCGGUAAUGUUAUCGUUUGAUUCCUAAUGAGUGUACCUACUGUAACAAUUAAAAGGAAAAUAGAUAAAUGUUGUAAAUAACAGUCUACAGCGUUAGUAUUUCCUCCACUCGUCUACUUAUCUGCUCGUCUACUCGUCCGCUAUUCUAUUCUACCAACUGGCGCUUAUCAGCCUCUACGACAGUUUCCAAAAAUUCCUUUAGAGUACGCGGAAAGACAAUUCGGCAGGUGAAUUUUCCUGACGAGUAUUUUAGUUAAUUCUGGAAAAUUCCGCCAGAUGGCAAUGUCAAGCGCCUACGAAA